rnacentral:lncRNA from 1 species
AGCAGAUUAACACCUUCAAAAAGGAGAACAUGAUUCAAGGAUCUUAGGUUGGAAUUAAGUUGUCCUGAGAAGUGUCAGGUAUCCAUUCUUUAUGUUCUCCUACGCAGUGAAGGGCACUAGAAAGACUACAAAAUGAAUUAAUAUUUUGUUUUGAAUAGGUAAAAACAAACAAACAAACAAACAAAAAACAACUAAACACAACUACACAACUUUGUGAUGGAACUCCUGCAAUUUUUUUUUUUUUUUUUUUUUUUUUUUUUUUUUUUUUUUUUUUUUUUUUUUUUUUUUUGUUUUUUUUUUUUUUUUUUUUUUUUUUUUUUUUUUUUUUUUUUUUUUUUUUUUUUUUUUUCAGUAAUUUCAUUCAAUUUUGUUGUGAAGACCAUUCCAGAGUCAUCUUAGUCAGGUCCUCAAAGUGGAAAGGCAAACAAAUACUGGAUUGAUAUGUCUGGGAAACAGAAGGACUGGAGUCCAGGGAAUCUUUCAAUUUUUUGGAGAGUUCAUCCCCUGGAGAAGUGCAGUUUGCCAGGUCUCUUAUUCUAUGAGUAUAUUCAAGAGAAUAUUUAAAGAUUUUAUACCACAUUCACCUGCUAAACAUGCUACUUACACAAAUAAAUACCUGUUAAAACAUAAUUAAAAAUAAAAA